GCGUCGCACAGCAUCCCACGGCUCGCGUGAGCGGUCUGUGGUCUUGCAUUCAAGAGCUGCCUACGAGGCCGCCUGCUCCUGAGGUCCUGGCUCCGUGUGCGGGCGCUUCCCGUGGCAGCGCAGCCCUGGGGAGAAAUCUGGGCAGCCCCGUGGAGCCUGCCUUGUGGCCCCUGGGACCGGACCCUCCUCAACUACCCUCCCUGCCACGUGAUAUUAACUGAAGACUCUGAGUGGAGAAGAUUGGGUCUGCAGGCUGAGAUGGAGAUCUCCUGGGCAGGAGUGGGAGACCUGAGUUCUUGUCCUGAUCCUGGCGGGAACCAGUCCCCUCUGUUCCACCAAGCGAGAGCCUCAAGUCCUGCUCUGCCCACGCGGGAGGAUGUUCUGUCAGAGGAGCGCAAGUUUGCACAAGAGUUUUGAAAACCCCAAAGCACUAGACAGAUAUAAGAGAUUUCCCCUUUGGUUUUCUUUUCUUUUGUCUCUGACGAAAAUUCAGCAUCAUCACUUGUUAAUUGGCCAGUAAGAUCACAAUCAGUAAGAUGCACAAUCCUACUUUUCUUUCCCAGAAGAUUAAUACGCAGCUGUAGAUUUCAGGAUCAUUUAAAGCGUUCUUUGAAAAUCUGACCCUUCAUAACAGACAGACGCUCCCAGAAAACAAUAACAAUGAAAUAAUAACAAUAAUGACAACAAUAAAUGCUAAAAAUGGAAACGGGCACCUUACAAUGACAGCUUAACUGUUGGUGAAGAAAGGAAGACUUUCUUAGAAAGACAUUUCUUCCCGUUCAAAAUGUAGACCUGAGCGUUUAACUAGGAAGGAAAGAAGGGAAAACAACUGAAAAU
rnacentral:lncRNA from 1 species